UGCAGCUGAUGUAACUCAGAGAAGGUAUACUACGCAGUGUUCUCGCUCCAAUAGGGAGGGACCUUGCCGUGAUCUUGGAAUUGUUCACCUUCAUGAUGAUCGCUUUUUUUUCUGAAAUGGCAUUUCAGACGCGCUCGCUCAAAAACAGAAAAAGAGAAGCGUAAUUAGCUUGUUUCUAUUGUGAAUUUGGUGGAACCGUAAAGCUCACACUGCCUUAUUCUAUCGCAGUGCUGGUGACAGUAGGUGUUACCAACGUAUAGGGUUACGGCAUCUUGUGUCGACAACGUAGGCAAAAUUCAUUUUAGGUAAUAUUAAUACACGUUAAUCACACCAUCGAACAUGAGCAUUUCUUCAAAAGGGCCGGCUAUUCUUCAACGCUAGAAAUUUUAUGCGGUCAGAAUUGCAUUCAGUGACUAUACUGCUAUCCCUUUCUGUGUAGUUGUUUCCUGGUGCCUCUUCUGGGUAGGGGGGGGGAGGGGGAGGGUGCUCAAUCAAUCAGUCGAUCAGACAGGAUUUUGGUACUUUUAUACUAAGCCAGCAAACAAUGAAGCGCGACGUUUUGUGCGAUUGCGCAGGGGCACCCAAGUGCAAAAGUAGUGCAGUUUGAACUAUUUUACACAAAUUCAGCCUUCGAAGGUGUUGCAAAGGCACUCUGUUUGAUAUACUUCUCCGAGAAAAUGACGAAAAUGAAGAUGUUUGUGCUGCAUUGUAUGGUGCUCUGCGCAUUUGUCGUGCUUACUGCCAGCAUAAAACUACACAAGCCCCACAAAUUAUGCCCAACUCCGAGAAAAACACCCUGCUCUGCCAGUUUGAAGUUGAACUGUCUCUACGCAAGAGGAAUUCUGGUCGGAGUUAUAUGUGCCCGAAAUGAGAAACCAUGCGAGGAACUUUGGCAAUCAGUGUGUCGGUUGCCGUUGAUUCCCAAGUGCAAGUCAUACCGCAGGGAAUGCGUCUGCAGCUGUGUUGAAACCAGACCGGUAAAGCGGCCAAGCAUUAAUGAAGAACGUAGAGCACCACAAGCGGGAACCUUCUUGUAGCAGGAAAAAAAAAACGAGAGCGAAUUAUCGUUUUUGGCGAUAAUUGGAUGACUAAUUGCUUCUGUACAAUUAAUGAGCAUUCCAUCCAUCUUUUAUAAUCGUACCUAUAAGCAUACCAAAAAAUGAAUGUACAAUUCCACUAUGUUACUUAUAAUCAUGCUUGUUAAUUAGGUACAAAUCGAGUUUUUAUGGAUAACUAUGCACAAACUGAAACUGCGUAAGUCCUCGACAAUAAAGU